GAACAUCCUCCGAGCGAAAGCAUCUAAAGCCUGGCCAUGAUGCUGAGCCUGGGCGCGAUUGCGUCCACAGGGUUUGGGGAGAAAUCCCCGGGCCUUCCGUGUUUGAAAAGGAGCGAAGUG
rnacentral:ncRNA from 1 species